rnacentral:lncRNA from 1 species
UAAUUGUUGUGCCUCCUCCAUGUGGGGUUCUUACAUAGAAAAUUAGAACAAGACAUAAAACAACUAUUAAUCUACUAUUAAUCUUACUCCUAAAAAAUCAACUUAAAAUCAUCCAAGAAUUAAUACAAUCUCUAAAAUCAAAACAUUAAAAAGUUUAAUUAUCCUCAUCAAAAUCCAUCCCAUCAUCUCUUUCUUCAACAUCAUCCUCUCCUUCCUCUUUGCUUUCACACUCCUCUUCCUCCAGC